CCUACGGGUGGCAGCAGUGAGGAAUAUUGGUCAAUGGUCUGAAGACUGAACCAGCCAAGCCGCGUGAGGGAUGAAGGUACAGAGUAUCGUAAACCUCUUUUGUCAGGGAACAAAGGCGGGGACGUGUCCCCGGAUGAGUGUACCUGGAGAAAAAGCAUCGGCUAACUCCGUGCCAGCAGCCGCGGGAAUACGGAGGAUGCGAACGUUAUCCGGAUUUAUUGGGUUUAAAGGGUGCGCAGGCGGUCUGUCAAGUCAGCGGUCAAAGCCCGGGGCUCAACCCCGGCCCGCCGUUGAAACUGGCAGUCUCGAGUUGGAGAGAAGUAUGCGGAAUGCGCGGUGUAGCGGUGAAAUGCAUAGAUAUCACGCAGAACCCCGAUUGCGAAGGCAGCCUUCCGGCGCCCUACUGACGCUGAGGCACGAAAGUGCGGGGAUCGAACAGGAUUAGAUACCCCAGUAGUC
rnacentral:rRNA from 1 species